rnacentral:pre_miRNA from 1 species
AAAGAGACAAACUCUGAUUUCCGUGUCCAACGUUUGACCGUCCAUCUUAUUUGAAAAAAAUAUGAAAAAAAUUAAAAAGACAAGUCACGCACAAAGUAUUAAUCAUGUUUUAUCAUCUAACAACAAUAAAAAUACGAAUUAUAAAAAAAUUUCAUAUAAGAUGGACAGUUAAAGUUGGACACGGAAAUCUAGGGUUUGUCUUUUU